UGACGCUUUUCUUCACUCUUCAAAGGUCUUGGAAUAAGGGGUGGGUAAGGACGGUGCCAGCCGCCGCGGUAAUACCGGCGCCUCAAGUGGUAGUCGCUUUUAUUGGGCCUAAAACGUCCGUAGCCGGUUUGGUACAUUCGUGGGUAAAUCAAGGCGCUCAACGUCUUGAAUUCUGCGAGCACGGCCAGACUUGGGACCGGGUGAGGUGUGGGGUACUCUCAGGGUAGGGGUAAAAUCCUGUCAUCCUGAGAGGACCACCUGUUGCGAAGGCGCCACACUAGAACGGAUCCGACGGUCAGGGACGAAGCCUAGGGGCACGAACCGGAUUAAAUACCCGGGUAGUCCUAGGUGUAAACGCUGUGGACUUGAUGUUGGGAGUGCUCCGAGCACCCUCAGUGUCGAAGCGAAGGUGAUAAGUCCACUGCCUGGGGAGUACGGUCGCAAGGCUGAAACUUAAAGGAA
rnacentral:rRNA from 1 species